AUUGAACGCUGGCGGCAGGCCUAACACAUGCAAGUCGAGCGGAUGAAGGGAGCUUGCUCCUGGAUUCAGCGGCGGACGGGUGAGUAAUGCCUAGGAAUCUGCCUGGUAGUGGGGGAUAACGUCCGGAAACGGGCGCUAAUACCGCAUACGUCCUGAGGGAGAAAGUGGGGGAUCUUCGGACCUCACGCUAUCAGAUGAGCCUAGGUCGGAUUAGCUAGUUGGUGGGGUAAAGGCCUACCAAGGCGACGAUCCGUAACUGGUCUGAGAGGAUGAUCAGUCACACUGGAACUGAGACACGGUCCAGACUCCUACGGGAGGCAGCAGUGGGGAAUAUUGGACAAUGGGCGAAAGCCUGAUCCAGCCACGCCGCGUGUGUGAAGAAGGUCUUCGGAUUGUAAAGCACUUUAAGUUGGGAGGAAGGGCAGUAAGUUAAUACCUGGCUGUUUUGACGUUACCAACAGAAUAAGCACCGGCUAACUUCGU
rnacentral:rRNA from 1 species